ensembl:rRNA 5S_rRNA 5S ribosomal RNA
GUCUACAGCCAUACUACCCUCAAUGCACCCAAUCUCAUCUGAUCUCAGAAACUAACAGCGUCAGGCCUGGUUAGUGUUCUGAUGGCA